GUACUUCCCUGGCAGGAGAGAUGCCUUGGUCAGGAGUGUGUUUUCCCAAAGUGAAACUCAGUUGUUGCACCCUGGAAGUGUUGACUCCUGUGAUUUCCCCAAAUGUGGAAAACUUGACUGCAUAAUUCAUGGUAGUGGGGACUGUGUUUGUACUCUCCCCU